CUGGGAGGACCAUCUCCUAAGGCUAAAUACUCUCUAGUGACCGAUAGUGAACCAGUACCGUGAGGGAAAGGUGAAAAGCACCCCGGAAGGGGAGUGAAAUAGAACCUGAAACCGUGUGCUUACAAGUAGUCAGAGCCCGUUAAUGGGUGAUGGCGUGCCUUUUGUAGAAUGAACCGGCGAGUUACGAUUUGAUGCAAGGUUAAGCAGUAAAUGUGGAGCCGUAGCGAAAGCGAGUCUGAAUAGGGCGUUUAGUAUUUGGUCGUAGACCCGAAACCAGGUGAUCUACCCUUGGUCAGGUUGAAGUUC
rnacentral:rRNA from 1 species